GCCGGGGUGGCGGAACAGGCAGACGCACAGGACUUAAAAUCCUGCGGACCGUGAGGUCCGUACCGGUUCGAUUCCGGUUCCCGGCACCA
rnacentral:tRNA from 1 species